UACAGAGGUCCCAAGCGUUGUUCGGAUUCACUGGGCGUAAAGGGUGCGUAGGCGGUCGGGUAAGUCUGAUGUGAAAAUCUCACAGCUUAACUGUGAAAACUGCAUUUGGAUACUAUCCGGCUCGAGGAAUGGAGGGGAGAGUGGAAUUCCUGGUGUAGCGGUGGAAUGCGCAGAUAUCAGGAGGAACACCGAUGGCGAAGGCAGAUCUCUGGGCCGUAACUGACGCUGAGGAGCGAAAGCAUGGGAGCGAACAGG
rnacentral:rRNA from 1 species